CACCUAAACGUGUUUAUAUAUGACCUAGUGUGUACUACUUCUAACAUCUACAGCCACUUUUGCUUAUGGUAUCGUUGCAGGCCUACAUGGUGUGACACAGUCCUGUGGGUUAACCCUGUCUAAGGAUGCAGCAUUUCUUAUGUGGAUAUUCCCACACAGGGCCAUAGGAAAGUGGCUGCAGCCUGAGGUCAUCUUUCCUAACACACUUACCUUGUUACCUUUCCAGUUUGAAGGAGAAUUUCUGGAAACCAGAGACCAGUCUAGGAAGUUACUGCAAGAUGGGGCCCUGCUCUUUCAGAAGUGCCCAUGGUGGGGACUGGUGGGAUGAAGACAGUGCAGCCCAGAGCCAUCCUCAGCCAUACAGCCUGAAAAGUACAACCUCUAUGGGAAGGACCUGAAGGACAGAGCCUGCUACAGUAACUUUAAACCUCUAAGCGCUAAAUAUCAGCUUUUGAACUGUGACUGCUUUUGUAGUCAACAAGAAGAAAUAAAUAUCACCAGAUGGCAAUUUAUCUGGUUAGGUUAAGGCAUCGUUAACCUCUUAGUGUAUGACUGGAAGCAUGUCUGCCAGCCACCUAGGAGUACAGGGCAGAGAUCAGGCAUAUAUAUACCCAUCUCCCGCAGCCCCUUCCAGGCUUUGACCUGUAAAACUUUCUUUGUUGAUGUCUGUUGGAAUUUCUCAUGCUGCAACCUGUGCCUGUUACCUCUCCUCCUUUCACUAUGCUCCUCUGAGCAGAGUCUGGACCUGGCCCCUCUAUAACUACAUAUUAGGUAGGUGAAGACAGCGAUUAGAUCUUUGGCACUUUCCUAUUUAACAUUUUUAUCAAGGGGCUAAAAGAAAAAUUAGCACAGUUCACAGAAGAUAAAAAAUUAAGUGACAAUAGGGAGGAAAGGUGAAAUUCAGUGAUCUGAAUCAGUAUGCAUACUGGGAAUGAAUAAACAAGAUGCAUCUAGUGUAGCUAAAUUCAGUUUACCUGAAUUCCCACUGAUGUGAGAAGCAGGAACUCAGAGGAGAGAAGCUGAAGGACAUGGUGGAUAAUCAGCCAUAUAUGAGCUCCCAACGUGGCACUGUCAUCCAAAAAACCUAACAUGACCUUGGCGUAUAGUGGAAACUUUCAAAUAGCAUGGUUGUAUAACUCCAUGUCCAACUCUGACAUUGACCCAUGAAGUACCUAGCUAUAGACAUCAGUUCUUACUCCUAAUGCAGAACUGGGGACAAUUUUCUGGUUAUGCUUCAGGUUCCAACUCAUUUAUGUUGCUUGCCCUACAACUGCUACUUUCCAUUUCAGACCAAUUUCUGCACUGCAGCAGAACCAUUUAAUCUCACAUUUUGAAACAUCAUCCAAGAGAAGAUGGAAUGGAAAUGUUAUCCUUUACGGCAAGAGAAAAAGAGCUUCACCUCAUCCUUCAGCCUUAGAUGCCAUAGCUUAGCACAUAUGACUCCAGCUGUGCCAGCCCACUUGGAUGCACAUUAGUUCAAGCAUAGAUCAUGCCUCCACUAGCUUUCUCAAGGAAGUAGCUACCUUAUUUAACUCUUGCCAUUAUUCAGCAGACAGUUUUGCUGUAAGAGAACUUUACUCAAGGGAUGAUCUGGGAGAGAACUGUUUGUUCUGGAUUCCUUUGAAAACCUGCUCCGAACAAGUAUUUCUGAGAAGGUUUCUCUAAGAAGGGGUUGCACAGAGACAGCUUUGAAAUGAACAGCGUAACUCUCACUUUGCAGAGUAUCUCACUGCUUACGUUCUCGCAAAGUAUACCCACACAACAAAACAAAGGUAUAAUAGGAGCAUGUGUAUCUUAACCUUAAUUAAACAAGCACACUGUUUA